rnacentral:rRNA from 1 species
GAGUGGCGAACUGGGGAGUAACACGUGGGUAACCUGCCCUUGAAGUAGGGGAUAACACUUGGAAACAGGUGCUAAUACCGUAUAACAACCAAAACCACCUGGUUUUGGUUUAAAAGAUGGCUUCGGCUAUCACUUUAGGAUGGACCCGCGGCGUAUUAGCUUGUUGGUAAGGUAACGGCCUACCAAGGCAAUGAUACGUAGCCGACCUGAGGGGGUAAUCGGCCACAUUGGGACUGAGACACGGCCCAAACUCCUACGGGAGGCAGCAGUAGGGAAUCUUCCACAAUGGACGAAAGUCUGAUGGAGCAACGCCGCGUGAGUGAUGAAGGGUUUCGGCUCGUAAAACUCUGCUGUUGGAGAAGAACAGGUGUGAGAGUAACUGUUCACAUCUUGACGGUAUCCAACCAGAAAGCCACGGCUAACUACGUGCCAGCAGCCGCGGUAAUACGUAGGUGGCAAGCGUUGUCCGGAUUUAUUGGGCGUAAAGCGAGCGCAGGCGGUUUCUUAGGUCUGAUGUGAAAGCCUUCGGCUUAACCGGAGAAGUGCAUCAGAAACCAGGAGACUUGAGUGCAGAAGAGGACAGUGGAACUCCAUGUGUAGCGGUGAAAUGCGUAGAUAUAUGGAAGAACACCAGUGGCGAAGGCGGCUGUCUGGUCUGUAACUGACGCUGAGGCUCGAAAGCAUGGGUAGCGAACAGGAUUAGAUACCCUGGUAGUCCAUGCCGCAAACGAUGAGUGC